CGAGUAGAGGAACUUGCCUAGUAUGUGGUUUCUCCUUAGCCUUGUCUUUAAAUGCAACUUUGAAGGGAGAUGAAUAAAGCUGCAGCAACUCCUAGGCCUGUUUGUGCACUCAAUGUUGCCCCUCUUUGCUCAAGCCAGAUAUAAAACUGCAGACUUCUGGUGUUAGAAGGGGUAAUGGAUGGAGAAAGCAACAUUAUCUGCUUACAGCAGUUUUGCUACCAGAAAACUGAAAUCAGUAUUGUAAAAAAAGCUUUGAACAGUAACACCUACAACCAUCCUGAGUUGGCAGACUAAACAGCAUUCUUGUGACAG